ACGGGUGAGUAAUGCCUAGGAAAUUGCCUUGAUGUGGGGGAUAACCAUUGGAAACGAUGGCUAAUACCGCAUAAUGCCUACGGGCCAAAGAGGGGGACCUUCGGACCUCUCGCGUCNAGAUAUGCCUAGGNGGGAUUAGCUAGUUGGUGAGGUAAUGGCUCACCAAGGCGACGAUCCCUAGCUGGUCUGAGAGGAUGAUCAGCCACACUGGAACUGAGACACGGUCCAGACUCCUACGGGAGGCAGCAGUGGGGAAUAUUGCACAAUGGGCGAAAGCCUGAUGCANCCAUGCCGCGUGUAUGANNAAGGNCUUCGGGUUG
rnacentral:rRNA from 1 species